rnacentral:rRNA from 1 species
CAAUAGCGUAUAUUAAAGUUGUUGCAGUUAAAAAGUUCGUAGUUGGAUUUGUGGCGUACGGUGUGUUCCGGGCACUUGUUGUCUGAGUAACCUGCUGUUGCCAUCCUUGGGUGGAACCUGUGUGGCAUUAGGUUGUCGUGCAGGGGAUGCCCAUCAUUUACUGUGAAAAAAUUAGAGUGUUCAAAGCAGGCUUAUGCCGUUGAAUAUAUUAGCAUGGAAUAAUGAGAUAGGACUUUUUUGCUAUUUUGUUGGUUUGCGCAAAGAGGUAAUGAUUAAUAGGGACAGUUGGGGGUAUUCGUAUUCCAUUGUCAGAGGUGAAAUUCUUGGAUUUUUGGAAGACGAACUACUGCGAAAGCAUUUACCAAGGAUGUUUUCAUUAA